rnacentral:rRNA from 1 species
AGCGAACGUUUGCGGCGGGCUUAACACAUGCAAGUCGAACGAGAAUCCCUUCGGGGAGGAAAGUGGCGCACGGGUGCGUAACACGUGGAUAACCAACCCAUUGGUUUGGGACAACACCGGGAAACUGGUGCUAAUACCAGAUGUGUCGCAGCUGUCUUCAGGCGGUUGCGAGAAAGGCCCGCAAGGGUCGCCAAACGGACGGGUCCGCGUCCCAUCAGCUAGUUGGUGAGGUAAUGGCUCACCAAGGCAAAGACGGGUAGCUGGUCUGAGAGGAUGAUCAGCCACACUGGAACUGAGACACGGCCAGACUCCUACGGGAGGCAGCAGUGGGGAAUAUUGCGCAAUGGGCGAAAGCCUGACGCAGCCACGCCGCGUGAGCGAUGAAGGUCUUCGGAUCGUAAAGCUCUNUGGGGGGAGAAGAAGAAAGCCGGUGAAGAGCCGGCCCUGACGGUAUCCCCUUAGCAAGCACCGGCUAACUCCGUGCCAGCAGCCGCGGUAAAGU